rnacentral:rRNA from 1 species
AAAGGAAUAGACGGGGGCCCGCACAAGCGGUGGAGCAUGUUGCUUAAUUCGAGGCAACGCGAAGAACCUUACCCAGGUUUGACAUGCUUUCGACCGGCGUCGAAAGACGCCCUUCCUUCGGGACGGAAGCACAGAUGCUGCAUGGCUGUCGUCAGCUCGUGCCGUGAGGUGUUCGGUUAAGUCCGGCAACGAGCGCAACCCGUGCUGCCAGUUACCAUCACGUAAUGGUGGGGACUCUGGCGGGACCGCCCGUGUCAAGCGGGAGGAAGGCGCGGAUGACGUCAAGUCCGUAUGGCUCCUACACCUGGGGCUGCAAACGUGCUACAAUGGCGGGCACAGUGGGCCGCUGCGCCGCGAGGCGUGGCCAAUCUCCAAAACCCGCCCCAGUUCGGAUUGCAGCCUGCAACUCGGCUGCAUGAAGUCGGAAUCGCUAGUAAAGGGACAUCAGCCACGGUCCCUUGAAUACGUUCCCGGGCCUUGUACACACCGCCCGU